rnacentral:tRNA from 1 species
UCCCUGGUGGCUCAGACGGUAAAGCGUCUGCCUACAAUGUGGAAGACCCAGGUUCGAUCCCUGGGUCGGGAA